ensembl:lncRNA
AUCUCAUUUGUGAAUCCCUGCCUACCUGAGGGUGUUACAGGUCUUCUGAAGACUUUUGCAGUCUUCAUCAAAUCCUGCUGUCUGUGCUUGGAAAAGUGGAAUAAGAAGUCUUGGUACUUAACUUAUUAGCAUGUGGCCCUGCAUGUACUGAAUGACUGCUCGGUGACCGUCACCUUAGCCUUCUGGACCUUUGAGCCCAUUUGCAGCCAGUGAUAGUAGUUUACACCUCAGAUGCUCAGCCUGGAACUCAGCCUUGUGCCAACAUAUUCCUACGCUGCUGGAGAGACUGCCUGAUUUCAGAGUCAAUCCAAAAGGGCUCUAGCUAUGACUGAAGAAGAUAAAUAUAUAAAAGCAUUAGAAGUGCACACGCAGUUACAGAAAUUUUGAAGGAAAUGAAGGAGAGCUUCCUAAAUAAGAGCUGAGCCCAUAUGCAUGGUGAUGUUACCAUCUGCUGGACUCCAGGAGGAAUGCAGCAAUCCAAGCAAAUCCCUCAGUUGCUCGCUGCAGUCAGGCAAGCCACCUGCUCUCUAAAGCAGCAUGGAGAGGCAGAUAGGUCCCCAGCAGUCACCUUGUUGUGGCCACACACUGGGGACAUGGAUCCUGAUCACUGUUUUGGGUGUUUGGGUGCUAGGACUGGGAGCCAGUCUAGGAAGCUAGGUGUUUGCUGGAGGCUGCUCAGGAGCACAGGCCUGCAGGGCCCAUGGAGCCUUUGGACUGCACUGAGGAACCCUAUGCCCACCAGGGGACAGGGUGCUGGCUUAGAGAAGCAUAUAGUAACAGGGAGGAAGGCUUUAACAUGGUGUCAGCCUGUGCUGAAAGCUUAGCAAAUGGUCAAGUGCCCCACCUGGAUGAGAGACCAGUGCAAACAGAAAGUCCAACAUUAGAUACUGGUGGCUAAAAUAUCUGUAUUGUUCCCUGCACCGUCCACAGUAGAAGCUGGACUUUUGCCAAGGAUCUUCUACACUUAGGAAAAACUGAGACAAACAUUUGACUUGUUUGACGUUUUCUGUUUGGAAUUUUUAAAUGACAGAGAGUAAUUGCUCGGUGGAACAAAUGACAAUUUUAUAAUCUCCCAGUUGUCAGGGGAGGAAGAGCAAUGCAACACUGCUCAACAUUUUUACAACUGGAAGACAAAUUAAGAAGUCACCUCAAGCUGAUAGGUAGAAUACUGUACAUGGCAAGUGAUUACAUUUCAGUUAUCUGGCUUAUACCCCUGUGCACCAAAAUUACUUUAACAAACAAUCCUUCUUGGCAAAUGACUGUAAAAUGUCUUACCUCAUCAAAAUCACUGGCACAUCCACUGGUACUUCUCAGAACAAGCAUCAAGGCUCAAGGACUGUAUAUUAUGUUAAGCAGUUUAAUAUUGGAUAUAAAAGAGUGGCGCUGGUGCUAGGAGAAGAACUACAGCUGAGGGAGGUCAUGGGCAAUCAAGGAUAGGGGAAAAUUUGAUAUUUAACUUUGUCUCCCAUUUGCAGUAUUUAAUCACUUGAAAUAAUAUAUAAAUCCUUGAUCUUUGAUAUUUGGAGUACCAAAGGAAUUGUCAGAUUUUCAGAAGCAUCUUUUCUGUCCAAAGGAACAUUAGGUGGAAAGGAUCAAUUGGUAAUGCAGUGACUGAAUAAAGUGCUAGAGAAAAAAACUCAAAUAAAAUAAUGGAACUACACUCAGCACAGCAGCCAUCUAAUUUUCAGAUUCCAGGCACUUACCACUACUGAUGGUCUAUUCAAGGUCAAUCUGCUGAGUAAAGUCAUGAUAUUCAACAGAGGAAUCUUCAGUGCAUUUGCUAUGUGUGUUAAUAUUAAAAAACAAAGGAC